GAAUCAACAUAUCUUCGUUAGGUAAAACAAAAUCCUCUUCUUCGGCAUCUCUCGCUUUUGUUUUGAAACCCUAAACUCGCCUUUUCGCAUCUGUAGAAGUUGAGUACUGGCGGCUUUGUUUUUACCACCGACGAUCUAUACGGUGAUCGAUUCUAAGGAAGAUCAAGGCGAUUCUGAUUCGUUAUCUUCAAAGAACAAUAUAUCCAUGUGAACGUCGCUUAGUGUAGAGAAAGAUUUGAUUGAUUCAAGUCUUUGUUAAUUGAAGAUAAUAAGAGACAUAC